CGGGGAGUGGCGCAGUCUGGUAGCGCAUCUGCUUUGGGAGCAGAGGGUCGCAGGUUCGAAUCCUGUCUCCCCGA
rnacentral:tRNA from 1 species